rnacentral:rRNA from 1 species
AUUGAACGCUGGCGGCAUGCCUAACACAUGCAAGUCGAACGGAGCGGCGAACGGGUGAGUAAUGCCUAGGAAUCUGCCUGGUAGUGGGGGAUAACGUCCGGAAACGGGCGCUAAUACCGCAUACUAUCAGAUGAGCCUAGGUCGGAUUAGCUAGUUGGUGGGGUAAAGGCCUACCAAGGCGACGAUCCGUAACUGGUUUGAGAGGAUGACCAGUCACACUGGAACUGAGACACGGGCCAGACUCCUACGGGAGGCAGCAGUGGGGAAUAUUGGACAAUGGGCGAAAGCCUGAUCCAGCCAUGCCGCGUGUGUGAAGAAGGUCUUCGGAUUGUAAAGCACUUUAAGCUGGGAAGCGUUACCAACAGAAUAAGCACCGGCUAACUUCGUGCCAGCAGCCGCGGUAAUAC